CCAAAGCUGUAACACCCCUCAAUUCCGAAUGUUCGUAAAAAUUUUUGGUGAUAAUGUAAGCAUCUAUUUUAAUUGACAAAAGAAAUAGAGUAUGAAUCAGAGGUAACUUAUUUUUAAGAUUUGGGAGAUCUGUUCAAAAAAAAAAAAAAGAAAAAAAAGAAAGAAUCUGAGGACCUAUAUGUAAACCCUAAGGACCUAAUCGUGAAUAUGAUAAAAACAAGGACUAAACUGCAAAAUGCACCAAAUGACAAAUUCCACCGCUUAAGCCUCUCUGCCUUCGUUGUUAAGGAAGCAGAGGAGGCAGCUCGUGGGUGAUCAGGGAAAGAAAAGAAGAAGAAGAAGAAGAAGAAGAAGAAGGAGAAGAGAAAGAAAAUUUGGGGCUUUUAGGGUUUUUGCUUUAAUCUUGUUACUUCGGGUCAAAAUUUGCAAAGGAUAGCGUAACUCUUGCUUAAAUGUUAAGAAUGGGCUGAGGCAGCGGAAAGUUUAGAAGACGUUGGGCAGAACUUUUGUUAGCAUAUAUGUAGUUGUGUAUAAGCUACCUUGCAUCUAAUGAAAUGUGACUAUGAAUCUAAACCUGUGGAUUUUGUGUAAGUUAAAGGAUCCCUCAUGUAUAGGGUUUUGGAAUGUUAAAUUAAAUUGUGUAAUGAUAUGAACUUAUGGUAAAUCGAUGAUUGUGGUGACUGCA